rnacentral:rRNA from 1 species
GAUGAACGCUGGCGGCGUGCCUAAUACAUGCAAGUCGAGCGAACGGACGAGAAGCUUGCUUCUCUGAUGUUAGCGGCGGACGGGUGAGUAACACGUGGAUAAACUACCUAUAAGACUGGGAUAACUUCGGGAAACCGGAGCUAAUACCGGAUAAUAUUUUGAACCGCAUGGUUCAAAAGUGAAAGACGGUCCUGCUGUCACUUAUAGAUGGAUCCGCGCUGCAUUAGUUAGUUGGUAAGGUAACGGCUUACCAAGGCAACGAUGCAUAGCCGACCUGAGAGAGUAAUCGGCCACACUGGAACUGGAACACGGUCCAGACUCCUCCGGGAGGCAGCGGUAGGGAAUCUUCCGCAAGGGGCGAAAGCCUGACGGAGCAACGCCGCGUGAGUGAUGAAGGUCUUCGGAUCGUAAAACUCUGUUAUUAGGGAAGAACAUAUGUGUAAGUAGCUGUGCACAUCUUGACGUUACCUAAUCAGAAAGCCACGGCUAACUACGUG